rnacentral:rRNA from 1 species
GACGAACGCUGGCGGCGUGCUUAACACAUGCAAGUCGAACGGAAAGGCCCUGCUUUUGUGGGGUGCUCGAUUGGCGAACGGGUGAGUAACACGUGAGUAACCUGCCCUUGACUUUGGGAUAACUUCAGGAAACUCGGGCGAAUACCUGAUAGGAGCUCCUGCUGCAUGGUGGGGGUUGGAAAGUUUCGGCGGUUGGGGAUGGACUCGCGGCUUAUCAGCUGGUUGGUGGGGUAGUGGCUUCCCAGGGCUUUGAUGGCUAGCCGGCCUGGGAGGGUGACCGGCCACAUUGGGACUGCGAGAGGGAGCAGAAUCCAACGGGCGGCAACAGGGGGGAACAUUGCACAACGGGCGGACGCCUGAUGCAGCAACGCCGCGUGCGGGAUGCCGGCUUUCGGGUUGUAAACCGCUUUCGCCUGUGACGAAGCGUGAGUGACGGUAAUGGGUAAAGAAGCACCGGCUAACUACGUG